UACGUAGGGUGCAGGCGUUAAUCGGAAUUACUGGGCGUAAAGCGUGCGCAGGCGGUUUUGUAAGCCAGAUGUGAAAUCCCCGGGCUUAACCUGGGAAUGGCAUUUGGGACUGCAAGGCUGGAGUGCGGCAGAGGAGACUGGAAUUCCCGGUGUAGCAGUGAAAUGCGUAGAUAUGCGGAGGAACACCGAUGGCGAAGGCGAUCCCCUGGGCCUGCACUGACGCUCAUGCACGAAAGCGUGGGGAGCAAACAGG
rnacentral:rRNA from 1 species